rnacentral:rRNA from 1 species
UGGCGAACGGGUGAGUAACACGUGGGUGAUCUGCCCUGCACUCUGGGAUAAGCCUGGGAAACUGGGUCUAAUACCGGAUAGGACCAUGCUUUAGUGUGUGUGGUGGAAAGUUUUUUCGGUGUAGGAUGAGCCCGCGGCCAUCAGCUUGUUGGUGGGGUAAUGGCCUACCAAGGCGGCGACGGGUAGCCGGACUGAGAGGUUGGUCGGCCACAUUGGGACUGAGAUACGGCCCAG